AGUGAGAUUGAGAGGGGAAGGGCGUCACACUGCAUUGGCAGUGACUCAAGUUGCUAUGAAGAAAAAGGGUAAAGCAAAGAAGUAUCCACCAAAGAAAGCCAAUGGACCUGGGGAAAGUAGCCAGGCUCAUGGAAAUAAUGGUUUCACAGUCAAGUGUCACUUUUGUGGCAAAAAGGGACAUGUGAAGAAGGACAGUAACAAGCGUAAGGCUUGGUUCGAAAAGAAGGGGAUACCUUUCAACCCGAAAACCGGAGGAAAGUGAGAGAUUUGUUUUUAUGGGGAAUCGUCUCAAGGCUGAAGUGGUAGCUGUUGGUACCUAUCGCUUGGUUUUAGAGACGGGUCAUCAGAUAGAUCUUGAAGACACUUUUUAUGUUCCCUCUAUUUCUAGGAAUUUGGUUUCUUUAUCUAGAUUAGAUUGUUUUGGAUAUUCAGUUUCAUUUGGUUGUCGAAAACUCAAAUUGAUGUUUAAUUCAAUAAUGGUUGGUUCUGGUGAUUUAUAUGAUGGUUUAUAUAAAAUUGCCUUGAAU